UGCAGUAGAACGCUGAGCUUGGUGCUUGCACCGAGCGGAUGAAUUGCGAACGGGUGAGUAACGCGUAGGUAACCUGCCUGGUAGCGGGGGAUAACUAUUGGAAACGAUAGCUAAUACCGCAUAACAGUGGAUGUCGCAUGACAUUUGCUUGAAAGGUGCAAUUGCAUCACUACCAGAUGGACCUGCGUUGUAUUAGCUAKUUGGUGAGGUAACGGCUCACCAAGGCGACGAUACAUAGCCGACCUGAGAGGGUGAUCGGCCACACUGGGACUGAGACACGGCCCAGACUCCUACGGGAGGCAGCAGUAGGGAAUCUUCGGCAAUGGACGAAAGUCUGACCGAGCAACSCCGCGUGAGUGAAGAAGGUUUUCGGAUCGWAAAGCUCUGUUGUAAGAAAAAAACGAGUGUGAGAGUGGAAAGUUCACACUGUGACGGUAUCUUACCAGAAAGGGACGGCUAACUACGUGCCAGCAGCCGCGGUAAUACGUAGGUCCCGAGCGUUAUCCGGAUUUAUUGGGCGUAAAGCGAGCGCAGGCGGUUAGAUAAGUCUGAAGUUAAAGGCUGUGGCUUAACCAUAGUACGCUUUGGAAACUGUUUAACUUGAGUGCAAAAGGGGAGAGUGGAAUUCCAUGUGUAGCG
rnacentral:rRNA from 1 species